rnacentral:rRNA from 1 species
UACGGAGGGUGCGAGCGUUGUCCGGAAUCAUUGGGCGUAAAGGGCGCGUAGGUGGCUUCUUAAGCGUGCGGUGAAAGCCUGGGGCUCAACCCCGGGUCGGCCGUGCGAACUGGGGGGCUGGAGCACUGUAGAGGCAGGCGGAAUUCCGGGUGUAGCGGUGGAAUGCGUAGAGAUCCGGAAGAACACCGGUGGCGAAGGCGGGUUGCUGGAGCCGGGCCGACGCUGAGACGCGAAAGCGCGGGGAGCGAACGGG